rnacentral:rRNA from 1 species
UACGUAGGGAGCAAGCGUUGUCCGGAAUCAUUGGGCGUAAAGCGCGCGUAGGUGGCCUCAUAAGUCCGCUGUGAAAGUUAAAGGCUCAACCUUUGAAAGCCGGUGGAUACUGUGAGGCUAGAGUACGGAAGAGGCGAGUGGAAUUCCUGGUGUAGCGGUGGAAUGCGCAGAUAUCAGGAGGAACACCAAUAGCGAAGGCAGCUCGCUGGGACGUUACUGACACUGAGGCGCGAAAGCGUGGGGAGCAAACAGG